AGUAACACGUGGGGAACCUGCCCCAUAGUCUGGGAUACCACUUGGAAACAGGUGCUAAUACCGGAUAAGAAAGCGGAUCGCAUGAUCAGCUUUUAAAAGGCGGCGUAAGCUGUCGCUAUGGGAUGGCCCCGCGGUGCAUUAGCUAGUUGGUAAGGUAAAGGCUUACCAAGGCGAUGAUGCAUAGCCGAGUUGAGAGACUGAUCGGCCACAUUGGGACUGAGACACGGCCCAAACUCCCUACGGGAGGCAGCAGGG
rnacentral:rRNA from 1 species